GCCUUCCCUUAUUAUCGACCCGCAACCGGAAGCGACACUCGGGCGUGCGUAUCUGAGACUUCAUCAAACCAUGGGCGCAAGGCCUUGGGGACUUUCAUCGAACAGCUUGGGGUGGCGCAGCUGCUGGCCAAGGUGUUGCCUGAGACCUCCCCACCCUGAUGGUAAUAUGCUUUAUCUUUGACAAUAUCACUCUCUCUUUCUCAUUGUUUUGUUGAGCUGAGUACGCAAGAAAAUAAUUUUCUUUUAAGUUGUUUCUGUUGAUUUACUAGUUUCAUUAUUUUGUUGUGCAUUUACACUAAAUAAAAUUCCAUUAUUUAAGAACAUGAAGUGGAAAUAAUCAUAUGAAUAGGGUCUCCUUGUUUAUCGUUUUUUUGCCAAUUGAUUUUCUGUAUUGAUUUUUAAGAGAUUUGAAAGUACCCUUAUGGCUGUAAUUAAUUAGUACUCAAAUCUUGAGUCACCUUGCACUUUGUUUCAUUGAAUCACAUCACAUUCUAGAAUAAUCUGUUAUUAAUGUCCUCUGAAACAGGUGCUGAUGUUGUUCUCUGCAUAGAAAAGGCAUUAGCUCAGUCUGGGGUGUCUAGGGAAUAUGUUCGUUACAUCAACGCACAUGCUACAUCCACACCGGCUGGCGGCCCGGAGACCUCAAAGAGUAUAAUGCUCUUAUUCAUUGUUUUGGCCAAAAUCCUGAGGUAACCAAAAUGCAUAACAUGUAUUUUCUGUUUUCUUACUGUCAUGUAUGUAUUCCCAUGCUUGAUAGCAUCUCUACUCUAAUGUUUACAGUUGAGAGUGAACUCCACAAAAUCCAUCAUUGCUCACCUACUUGGAGCAGCUGGUACUGUAGAAGCUGUUGCUCCACUACAGGUAACUUAUGUGAUGUUUUUAUCUUGGAAGUACUGUAUAAUUUGAAGUCUUGUUUGUAAAGACCAGAUACAAACUUAGUAAUUUGAAGUACCUGGAAGUACUUACUUAGUACUGUAUAAUUUGAAGUCUUGUAUGCAAAGACCAAAUUCAACUUAGUUGCUGGUUUAUUCAUGACAUCUGAGAAAAUCAAUUUUGACGACUACCUGCUGGAAUCAGAACUUUCAAGGGACGGGGGUGGGAUUGAAAGGCUUGACAUGUUUGUUCCCAUUUAACCCAUGCCUGCCAAAAUAAAAGUGACAGGUUUGUAUUAGGAGUUUCCUUUCUCCCAAAAAUCACAUGUAACAUUGGAAAAACUCUGGUCGGAUGCCUGAAAUGGACAGGAAUCGUCAUAAUAUUAGUUGUAAAAAAGCAUUCCUUUGAACAGAAAAUUUGGGACACCCUAGCCCUUCUUGGGAAGUACAAAUAAGUCCCUACAUCAAAGUGUCAUUUUUGAUGAUCUGUUCACGUCCACGUUUCUUUUUGGUAGUUUUAGAUGAAUGCCUUGCUGACACUAAUUUUUUCUCUGUAUAAAGUUACAUCCUGCCAAACUUCAUUUUCUGGUCAAUGGUUCAAUCCACAUAUGAUGACAAAGAUUCCAGUGAUGAAGAUGUCGGUGAAGCUUUUGCGGGUGACGAUGACAGUGGAAUGGAUUAUGGGAUUAUGCAGAGCUUGGAGAAACAACAUUUUGAUUUUGCUGAAGUUGGCUUUGCAUUGAACAAAAUGUCAAUCACACCGAAGGAUUCCUUACAUAGUAGGUUUGGUGGUGCAAUAAACCAACCCAUGCGAAUGCCCUCAAGAAUUAGACCGUCAACUAGUCCGGAUUCUUUGUAAAUUGAAAGUGUGUAGCCCCUCUUUACUUUUGUGGAAGAUGCAAACUGCAUACGAACAGACAUUAUGUUGGCCUCAGAGGAUUGUGGCAAGCUGAUGAUGAGCAAGAUGCGUAGUCGUAGACUUCAUUUUCAAGUUUCUUUUAUUUAUACAUUUAUUUAUGUAGGGUAUUAUGGAGCCUUGUUUUUCUGCCCUCAAUGAACUUAAUCAGAACGUGUAGUAUGCCA
rnacentral:lncRNA from 1 species